GCCGACGAUUCCAUCUCGACGAGUAGCUGCACCGCCAGUCGUCAGGCCGUCGCCUUUGCUGCCGGAGUCGUCUCCGAUACCUGGCUGCCCCAGUACCUUGAUUCGGCAUGCUCCCCACCGUGUUGCCAUAGCAGCCGGCCAUCCUAUUUUCAGCCAACGCAACUCUGGUGUUAUCCUUCAUGUGGCCUAAGUGGGAAAAUGUAUGAAUUGUUUGCUGAUCAUCGCUUCCAGCAAGGUCAACCACAAAUUUGUACCGGGG